AUACGUAGGUGACAAGCGUUAUCCGGAUUUACUGGGCGUAAAGGGCGUGUAGGCGGUCUUGCAAGUCAGAAGUGAAAUUCCUGAGCUCAACUCGGGCGCUGCUUCUGAAACUGCAGGACUUGAGUGCUGGAGGGGAUAGCGGAAUUCCUAGUGGAGCGGUAAAAUGCGCAGAUAUUAGGAAGAACACCGGUGGCGAAGGCGGCUAUCUGGACAGUAACUGACGCUGAGGCGCGAAAGCGUGGGGAGCAAACAGGAUUAGAUCCCCUGGUAGUCCACGCCGUAAACGAUGAAUACUAGGUGUAGGGGGUAUCGACUCCCUCUGUGCCGCAGUUAACACAAUAAGUAUUCCGCCUGGGGAGUACGGCCGCAAGGUUGAAACUCAAAUGAAUUGACGG
rnacentral:rRNA from 1 species